AUUGAACGCUGGCGGCAUGCUUUACACAUGCAAGUCGAACGGUAACAGGCCGCAAGGUGCUGACGAGUGGCGAACGGGGGAGUAAUGCAUCGGAACGUGCCCAGUCGUGGGGGAUAACUACUCGAAAGAGUAGCUAAUACCGCAUACGAUAUAUGGAUGAAAGCGGGGGACCGUAAGGCCUCGCGCGAGUGGAGCGGCCGAUGUCAGAUUAGGUAGUUGGUGGGGUAAAGGCUCACCAAGCCAACGAUCUGUAGCGGGUCUGAGAGGACGACCAGCCACACUGGGACUGAGCCACGGCCCAGACUCCUACGGGAGGCAGCAGUGGGGAAUUUUGGACAAUGGGCGCAAGCCUGAUCCAGCAAUGCCGCGUGCAGGAAGAAGGCCUUCGGGUUGUAAACUGCUUUUGUACGGAACGAAACGGCUCUGGUUAAUACCCGGGGCUAAUGACGGUACCGUAAGAAUAAGCACCGGCUAACUACGUG
rnacentral:rRNA from 1 species